UACGGAGGGAGCUAGCGUUGUUCGGAAUUACUGGGCGUAAAGCGCACGUAGGCGGCUUUGUAAGUCAGAGGUGAAAGCCUGGAGCUCAACUCCAGAACUGCCUUUGAGACUGCAUCGCUCGAAUCCGGGAGAGGUGAGUGGAAUGCCGAGUGUAGAGGUGAAAUUCGUAGAUAUUCGGCAGAACACCAGUGGCGAAGGCGGCUCGCUGGACCGGGAUUGACGCUGAGGUGCGAAAGCGUGGGGAGCAAACAGG
rnacentral:rRNA from 1 species